rnacentral:sRNA from 1 species
AGUAAAUUCUAGCCAUACAGGACCCAGACACUCUUUGUCCAGCUCUGUUUUCCCAGUGUCUCCUGGGGAGUGAUUCAGGGCCAAGGUGACAGUGGGUUUGGAGCCCAGAUGAAAGGAUCGCAGGGACCACAAGACAAGAUCCCUUGUGUGGUGGCCGGCUGGAAAGAGGAGGGAGUGAGUGUGUGUGGAGUUAAAAGAUAUACCCAUCAAAACUGGAGACCCGGCAUAUUGGCCUAGAACUCUACACGCUGCAUUGGUCUCUUUUUAUCAUGAAACUGCCAGAGGCAUGCAGCAUUGGUGAUGGAAAGCCCUUUGUCAUGAAUCUGCAGAAUCUGUAUAUGGCAGUCACCAAACAAGAGGUCCAAGUGGGACAGAAGCAUCAAGGCACUGGAGAUCCUCAUACCUCAAACAGUGCUUCCCUGCAAGGAAUCGAUAGCCAAUGUGUAAACCAGCCAGAACAACUGGUCUCCUCAGCCCCAACCCUCUCAGCACCUGAGAAAGAGUCCACGGGUACUUCAGGCCCUCUGCAGAGACCUCAGCUGUCAAAGGUCAAGAGGAAGAAGCCAAGGGGUCUCUUCAGUUAAUCU